UACGGGGGGGGCAAGCGUUGUUCGGAAUUACUGGGCGUAAAGGGUUCGUAGGCGGCCAACUAAGUCAGACGUGAAAUCCCUCAGCUUAACUGGGGAACUGCGUCUGAGACUGGAUGGCUUGAGUGCAGGAGAGGAACGCGGAAUUCCACGUGUAGCGGUGAAAUGCGUAGAGAUGUGGAGGAACACCGAUGGCGAAGGCAGCCUCCUGGGCCAAUACUGACGCUCAUGCACGAAAGCGUGGGGAGCAAACAGG
rnacentral:rRNA from 1 species